ACUUAGAUAUGCAGCUGAAGGGGUUCCUGGGUUUCUUUCUCCUGAGAACUGGCAUGGGCUCUGAGUUUUGCCAGUCCUGGCUUCGGUCCUAGUAUUCUAAGCUGCCUGACCUUGGGCAUUUGUCAACCUGUCUGAACCUUAGUACCCUUUCCUCUCUGUAGAGUGGGAAGAGAUGGAGUCUGUGAAGCGCCUGGUGCAAGCUGUACUAAUACAUCUAACAAUGAGCUCCUCCCUCCCUCCCUUCCUGCCUCCCUCCCUGCCUCCCUCCCUCCCUGCCUCCCUGCCUCCCUGCCUCCCUCCCAUGGGGAGGCCAGAAUCUGGCUGCUUGCUGCCACCUAGUGGCUCUUUGGGGUCAUCUUCCCUCAUAGGAACCACAGAUCCAGUAGCCUAGAGCAGAAAGGGAAGGAAGAUUCAACCUAGGGGUGUUUAUGUUUAUCGUGUGUCCGGCACUCGGGGAGAUAGUGCAUGGGACUACAUAAGUAAGACAGCAUCGAAGAGGUGUCUUGGAGUGUGGUUAGGAGCGAGGGCUCUGGAGUCAGACAAGCUACAGACUAGCUGAGUCACCUUGGGGCAAGUUAUUUCAUUUCACUGUGCCUCAGUUUCCCCAUCUGUAAAAUUUGUAUAACGAUAACCUACCUCGCGUAUCUACAGUGCCUAGCAUAGUGCCCCACAUAAAUGUGUUCACUAAAUGUACGUCGUUAUUAAUCAUAGGAGCUUGCAGUCUCACUAGGGCCGACUGGAAAACUAUUAAGUGAUCCUCAAAGCCACUGGCGCUCAGAGACUAGAGAGAUCAAGGUGCAGAAGACUCAGGGAAGGGUAGUCUUGAGGGCAGCUGCCCUUAAAGGGUGGGCAGCAUUUAGUGAAGCAGAUGGAGGGAAGUUGACCAGCAUCCCAGAUGUGGGGAAGAGGCCAGCAGCCUGGUCUCCUCCACGGCCCAGCCCCCACUGUCUUACCAAAGAACAGCUUUAACCAAACCCCUCUGGGCAUCAGGACCACCGCUACACCUCUUGCCAGGCUGCAGAGCUAUGCAGUCUGGAGGCCCAGCUCUCGUCAGAAGCUGGGGCAUGGGCUCUAGGGGAACCUGGGGUCGGAUGAGCCCCUGAGCAGGUGGCAGGUGCCUACAUGUCCCAGUGUGGGUUCGUGUUUGUGUAAGGCUCUCCUGCCCCCACCCCCAGGCACCAGCACAGCCUUUGCCUUCACUCUCUCCCCUCCCCUGUCCCUGGGGGAUUGAAUAAGGGAAGCUGGGGUUGGCCGUCCUUCUAGCUUGAUUGGCAGCACCAGCGCUGUGACGGAAGGAUGUGUCGUGCCAGCAGCCUCUUGGCCGCAGGACAAAUGCACAUUUAAAGAGAUAACCUUUUUGUGUCCUGGCUGGGAAAGAGGUCAGUGCAGAUGUUUUUGGGUCCAGGUGUUGGCUGUGAGUUUUCCUUUCCUCUAUGAACUGACCUCAGCAGCCUAGUGGACAGUCACCUCCUUACAGGUGUAAAAUCCAAGCCAGUCAACCAUAGCAGGUGGCAGACUUAGCUGCCUUCCCUGUGGUGUGGUGCAGACCAUGACCCUUGAGGCAAAUGGGUGAGCUGGCCCCACCUCGCCUGCAGCCUCCUCUGAGGCUCCCCUGCUGCCUCCCCACUAGCCUCCCUGAAUCGCCUACUUCCCAGCACCCCCAGCCCGUAGUUCUCAUCCCGUCUUCCAUCUGCGAUCUGGCGCUCAUUCUUCCAGAGCCAAAGAGGAAUCCCCUCUUCUCAUGCAGAAGACAGUCAUGCCUGCCCUUGUGUGUCAAAAGCAUUGCAUUUAUGCCCUGUUAGAACCCCUGUCACAAGCAUGGUGCCUGAACACAGGUGCCUCUGUGGUCUCUUCUCAUCCUCACCCAAUGGGUACUAUGCUAGCCCCAUUUUACAGAUGAGGCAAACGUGGCACGGAGAGCUCCACUAACUUGCCUGGAUGAUUCAUGCAUCCAUCCAUUCACUUAGCAAAUACUUAUUUAACUUCUGCUUUGUGCUAGGCAGUGGGGAUGUGGCAGUGGGAAUGUGGCAGUGAGGAAGACGACAGACAGGCUCCUUGGGAAGCAGAGUAAGCAAGUGAGGAGACAGGCGGGCGUUUUGAGGCUGCGUAGGCGCUGAGAUGAGUUGCUGGGGGAGGCCUCUCUGAGGCGGUGGGGCUUGAGUUGAUUCUGAAGGACAAGAAGAGCCAGCCCUGGGGGGGCUGGGGGAAUGGUAUUCCAAGUGGAGGGAACAGCAGGUGCUGGGGGCAGGGAGGUGACAGAUGUGUCCCAGGUACAGAGAACAGAGUGAACAGGAGAGAGGAGGGGGCCAGGGCAUUCCAGGUGGGGAAAGGCAGCAGGUGGCCCAGUGGUACCCCCUCUUUUGGCGAGGGCUUUGGACCUUACCCGGUGUGAUGGGAAGUCCUGGAAGUGUGUUAAGCAGGGGAGUCUUUUUGAUCAGAUUUUCUAGAAAAUGACAGUGGGCUGCUGUGGACCUCAGAGAGGCAUGUGUGAUAAUGUGUUUCGGGCUCUUCCCACGAAACUCGGCUCGGCUCAUUUCCUGGUUCUGUUUGAUGAGUGAGCGAAUGCACAUGGCAGGCGGUCAUGUCCCUUGGGCCUGUGAGGUGAGGAAGGGUCCCUGAGCCCUGUGGGGAUAGAGACUCUUCCACCAUUCUGACAUGAUCCGAGUUAGCAGGCAGCACUGUCCAGAUGGAAAUGGGGAUGGGAGACAGACCAUCUCUCUCAGCGGGUCCAGCCAUGAGCCAGCAGACUGUUUCCCGUUGGCCCCCAUCUUUCAGAGUGGGAUGAUCUUUCUAACAAAGAAAGCCACACAGGAGUUUGGUGCGUGUGUGUGUGCGUGUGUGUGUGUGUGCACAUUACCUUUCAGGAUGGAAGCCGGUGGGGUGUGGAGCGAGGGGCUGGCAUGGUUGGCCUCGCCCAGCUCCUGUACCCUGUGUGUGCCUAGAGCAUGCACCUGCUCCCUCUGCUGGGCUGAGACUCAGAGGACACUGGGCAGGUGGUGGGGGGUAGGAGGGUCGUGGCUGUGUUGGGUGGGGCCACAUCAGGUGUGUGGCACAGAGGGGGAGGGGGAGGUGGAGUGGCAGUGUGUUCCACCCAGCAGUCCCUGUGUUUGACCUCUUCGUACACUCUCUGUUGUAUUAGCUCUCAGAAUGAAAACGAGAUACUUUUCCCCAAUCUAUGUACGUUGUUCUUAAGAAUGUACACUUGGCCAGGUGCAGUGGCUCACGCCUGUAAUCCCAGCACUUUGGGAGGCCAACGUGGGUGGAUCACCUGAGGUCAGGAGUUCAAGACCAGCCUGGCCACAUGGCGAAACCCCAUCUCUACUAAAAAUACAAAAAUUACCUGGGUGUGGUGGUGGGCACCUGUAAUCCCAGCUACUAGGGAGACUGAGGCAGGAGAAUUGCUUGAACCCAGGAGGUGGAGGUUGCAGUGAGCCGAGACCGCGCCACUGCACUCCAGCCUGGGCAACAAGAACGAAACUCCGUCUCCCAAAA
rnacentral:lncRNA from 1 species